rnacentral:rRNA from 1 species
GACGAACGCUGGCGGCGUGCUUAACACAUGCAAGUCGAACGGAAAGGCCCUGCUUUUGUGGGGUGCUCGAGUGGCGAACGGGUGAGUAACACGUGAGUAUCCUGCCCUUGUCUUUGGGAUAAAUUCAGGAGACUCGGGCUAAUACAGGAUAGGAGCUCCUGCUGCAUGGUGGGGGUUGGAAAAUUUCGGCGGUUGGGGAUGGAAUAGCGGCUUAUCGGCUUGAUGGGGGGGUUGUGGCUUCCCAAGGCUGUGAAGGGUACGCGGCCUGGGAGGUUUGCCGGCCACCUGGGGCCUGGGGUACGCCCCAGACUCCUACGUGAGGCAGCAGUGGGGAAUAUUGCACAAUGGGCGCAAGCCUGAUGCAGCAACGCCGCGUGCGGGAUGACGGCCUUCGGGUUGUAAACCGCUUUCGCCUGUGACGAAGCGUGAGUGACGGUAAUGGGUAAAGAAGCACCGGCUAACUACGUG